UCAUCAUCAUAACAGCUUGACUUGCUCGGUGACCUCACCACCACCUAAGAAAAUGAGCGAUCAUUCCUCUGACGACGAAGAUGUUGUGGUGUUGCAGGUAUGUGCAAAUCGGCACUGCCAGGGCAUCGAUGAUCUAGAGUUCGACGAGGAGACAAACCAGAGCUACUGCGGCCGGUGUCGUGCGCUCUACGCCCGCACGGAGACGGAGGGGUUUCGCGUUCUUCUGUCGAACGACGACCUCGGGCUAGUGAAGCUUAUUUUUGACCAGUUCGAUGAGAACAGCCGCGGCUUCUGGACUUACAAAGAAUGGAACGCGUUUCAGGAGGUGACAGAGCGCGGCUCAGACGACCCGAUAGAGUCUUCGUCUGCCUUGAAGGAGUUCUUCAAGGAGGAGUACGACAUCGAUAUCAGCGCCCACGGCAAAGACGGAGCGGUAGUCCUUUUGGUGGAUCUGGAAAACAUGUAUGGGGGCUAUCUGUACAACAAUGUAGACGCACUUGUGGAGGACAGCGAGGCCAUGGAGUAUCAGGGGCUUCUGCACACGGGCGUGCUGGAGUAGAGGUACAUGUGGCCACAUACCCGAAAGAAACAGAUGGCACAGCCGGUGUUUCACUGAGCACCGCAUGAUGAUGCAGGUUUCUCCUAUGGCUAUCUUCACGGGUGCAUCGGUUCGUCUACUUUUUUCUUCUGUUGUGUGUGAAGAUAGUGGACAUAUAUUGCCGCGUGCGGCGCCUCUCAUACUGUCAUUUUGUGCUAACGUGUUUUGAUACCUGUUCCUCUAGACCGUUUCGCUCUCUCGCUCCCUCCCCCCUCGGUUCCGUCGAGAAACGUGCACUGUGCUGCCGUGCGCCACAUGUGGGUCGCGAGAGAGGGGUUUAGUGGUAGUGGUAGUGGGCGAGGGCUUCGCUGAAGGAGGGCAAAGGAAACACUCGUGGUGCGCUGCGGAUUCCCUUUUCACGCACUCCCGAAUUCAGCGCAUGCCCUCCCCCCCCCCCUCAUCACUCCACUCCCCGAACAAAGGAAGAAAACUAUACACACCAGGGGAGGCGGUUUACUUCAGCACACAUACUUGUUUCCCCCGCUCUGUUGUUCCUCCUUACCAGUUGCUGACUCAUCGAUGUGAAGUGCGCCGUCCUACAUUUGAAUCGCAUGCGUUUUCAUUUUUUCACCUGCCCCCCCCCCCCACUUCCUCCUCCUUCCCUUCUUUCCCUCCCCUUCCCCCUCUUAG
rnacentral:misc_RNA from 1 species